rnacentral:misc_RNA from 1 species
AUUCCAUGCCAUCGUUUGCCAAAAAUGGUUUAGGUACUGUGAAUCAAAAUUACAAAAAACAGUGUUUUUCACUUUCUCAUACGCACGCUCACGCACUCUGUAUCCCUUUCCUCCUCUGAAAACUCGAGACUCUCCAACAGUGAUCCUUCAAAACCCCACCGAUUUUAGGAUUUUCAUUUUUCAAAUAUCAACACUCUCUUUAUUUACUCCUUUGCCCUUCUCCGUGUGGAGAGAGAGAGUGAGAGAGAGCUGCAUUUUCUGUUUUCUCGGCCAUGGAGUAUUGUGGAGUGGUGGUGGUGGUAUUUUGAGUAAAUAAAGGAUGAUACAAUGGGCAGGAUUGGGAAUCGAUGGGAGUGAACAAGGCCUGGAGGUUUAGCGUGAUAUUGGCGAACCUGGCUCUAUUACAGCAACAAAACGGUAACCACAGCCCCAGCAGAGGCGACGGCAAGCAUCACCACCACCAUCACAGUCAUAAUGACUGCUGGAGGAGGUUGAGAUCCUGUGCGACGCAGCAGCGCAGGAAGAUCCCGUGGUCGCUAGUUUGCGGGUUAAUGCUGUUCAUUUUGGGAUUGAUUUCUCUUUUCACUGGACACGUGGCCUCUGAUCUUGAGUGGUACUCUCAGAGAUUAGUCACGCACAGCUUGGGCCGACUGGAUGGAAAUCGGCGUGAACCGAUUGAUAUAUGGAAAUCCAAGUACUCAAAGCUCUUCUAUGGAUGCACUGAAAGAGGACGUAAUUUUGCUCCUGCCAAACGCGAGCGGUCAUCAAAUGGCUAUUUGCUUAUUGCAGCAAGUGGAGGGCUGAACCAACAAAGAACCGGAAUAACUGAUGCCGUGGUUGUUGCACGGAUUCUUAAUGCUACAUUGGUUAUACCAGAGUUGGAUCAUCAUUCCUAUUGGAAGGAUGAUAGUGACUUUGUCAACAUUUUCGAUAUUGAUUGGUUCAUUUCCUACCUUGCAAAAGAUGUGACCAUUGUCAAAAGAGUUCCUGAUAAAGUCAUGCGAUCAAUGGAAAAACCACCAUAUACCAUGCGUGUUCCAAGAAAAUCACCCCCUGAAUAUUAUCUAGAUCAAGUUCUGCCUAUACUAUUGAGGAGACGUGUUGUGCAAUUGACCAAGUUCGAUUAUAGGCUUGCAAAUAACCUUGAUGAUGAACAGCUACAAAAGUUGCGUUGCCGAGUUAAUUAUCACGCUUUAAGAUUUGCAAAGCCCAUACAAGAUAUUGGUCAAAGACUUGUUAUGAAAAUGAGAAAGAUGGCAAAACAAUUUAUUGCAAUUCACUUGAGGUUUGAACCUGAUAUGCUUGCAUUUUCUGGAUGUUACUAUGGUGGAGGAGAAAAGGAGAAAUUUGAGCUAGGUGAAAUAAGAAAGAGAUGGGCAACAUUACCAGUGAGAUUGCUGUCCUUUAUGACUUUGACUUUUGAUUUAAAUUGAAGGAGAAAUUCUCAGUUCCCUGGAUUUUGACUAGUACGAGAAUUAUAUGAGAAUUAAGAACUCUUGAAAAAUUAUGUGGUCUGUAUUUGCUUUGAAUGUCACAUGUCACAAUUCUCUUCCAGUUGCAAGGAGAAAUGCUUGUUGAGAUGGAUUCUAAUGAAUUUAUUCUGCCUGUAAUUUGACAUGAAAUUUGUGCUUGUUCUUGAUGUUUUAGGAUUUAAGUGCAGAGGAAGAGCGAGCAAGAGGGAAAUGCCCACUUACCCCUCAUGAAGUGGGAUUGAUGCUGCGUGCUCUUGGAUUUGCUAAUGACACAUAUAUCUAUGUUGCAUCUGGAGAAAUAUAUGGUGGAGAAGACACUCUGCGGCCACUUAGAGAACUGUUUCCAAACUUCUACACGAAGGAGAUGCUUGCUAAUGAAGAGCUGAAACCUUUUCUUCCAUUUUCUUCCCGCCUGGCAGCCAUUGACUACAUAGUCUGUGAUGAAAGUGAUGUUUUUGUCACCAAUAAUAAUGGAAACAUGGCCAAGAUUCUUGCAGGUCGAAGGAGGUAUGCAGGGCAUAAGAGGACUAUCAGACCAAAUGCAAAGAGGCUGAGUGCAUUGUUAAUGGAGAGGGAUAAGAUGGACUGGGAUACAUUUGCUAAAAAAGUGAAAUCAUGCCAGAGAGGAUUCAUGGGGGAGCCGGAUGAGAUGAGACCUGGACGAGGUGAGUUCCAUGAAUAUCCAUCUCCUUGCAUCUGUGAGAAGCCAUUCAGUAAUGAAGAAAGCAACAAUGAUGAAGCUCACCUGUUGGAGCAAGUUACUAUUAACUCCAAGGCGAAAGUACCAACAAAAGUACAUGGAGUAGUAUCAAAGUGAGAAAAGCCUUGGAAAGUCCAAGAAGAGAAGCAUGGUAGAAGAAUCAAUAUAAUCUGGAGAGAGAUAUUGAGGGCGAUGAAAGCUUUCCUGAUAACAGAACUAAGACUAGGAUAUAUGGUGCACAGAAUUUAUUCUUAUAUGGAUCAAAUUUUCUCAGAUAAUUAUGGCUCAGCCUUUUCAUCUCUUCUGCUUGCAAACCUUCAGAUGUGAAGUUUUACUCGUGGGCAUCAUAACUGAAGCCUGCUCAAAUGUGGUGAAUGAGUUGUCUUCAGUUUCUCUGGCUGGAUCAAUGUAGAGAAGGGAUAUUUGAGGAGUUGCAAUUGUUCAUAAAAUAGUUUUUGCUAGGUACACGUUUUAGGUAUGCAAUUUGGAUUUGUUCAUUUUCUCUUGCCACGCUGUGGCUUCAGUUCUGUUAUGGUGGCAGUCGUGUUAAUGGGUCGCCAAAAAUGAACAUAUUUAAAGUAAUUUUCUUAGGCCACUCGCUCGUACCAAAUGAUCAUAUUCAUGCGACAUUCCGUAGUUCCAUUUUAUAAAACCAUCGCUUCACGAGCAUGACAAGAUUUACGCGUACCAUCGCUAUCAUCUAUCAUCCAUUAUGCUUUACAUGAGAUUCUAC